CCAAAGAAGAGGCUGGGAAAAACCCUUUGUAAACUAAGGAGCCGCCAUCAUAAAUGCAAGAGAAAAGACAAGUUAACCUUUUUGAAAACAGUCAGGUGUUCCUGCCUCCACAACUGGCUUUGCAACACUGAGGAGUCCUUUCACAUGGCUUGGUCUGGAAGCUUCUGAGACUGCAGAACAGACGUCAGCAGUCUUUGCAGAGAACACCCACAAGGCGACAAAGAAACCAACUUGACAUGAGGGUCCCCGUGGACUCACACGCUGGGAAAGCUUGACAUUCCUGACCCGGCCCUGAGACCUCCACCCAGAC